CUCGUAGGCGGCCAACUAAGUCAGACGUGAAAUCCCUCGGCUUAACCGGGGAACUGCGUCUGAUACUGGAUGGCUUGAGUUCGGGAGAGGGAUGCGGAAUUCCAGGUGUAGCGGUGAAAUGCGUAGAUAUCUGGAGGAACACCGGUGGCGAAGGCGGCAUCCUGGACCGACACUGACGCUGAGGAGCGAAAGCCAGGGGAGCAAACG
rnacentral:rRNA from 1 species